rnacentral:rRNA from 1 species
UACGUAGGGUGCGAGCGUUGUCCGGAAUUACUGGGCGUAAAGAGCUCGUAGGUGGUUUGUCGCGUUGUUCGUGAAAACUCACAGCUUAACUGUGGGCGUGCGGGCGAUACGGGCAGACUGGAGUACUGCAGGGGAGACUGGAAUUCCUGGUGUAGCGGUGGAAUGCGCAGAUAUCAGGAGGAACACCGGUGGCGAAGGCGGGUCUCUGGACCAUAACUGACGCUGGAUGCACGAAAGCGUGGGGAGCAAACAGG